AUUGAACGCUGGCGGCAUGCCUUACACAUGCAAGUCGAACGGCAGCAUGAUCUAGCUUGCUCGAUUGAUGGCGAGUGGCGAACGGGUGAGUAAUACAUCGGAACGUGCCCUGUAGUGGGGGAUAACUAGUCGAAAGAUUAGCUAAUACCGCAUACGACCUGAGGGUGAAAGUGGGGGACCGCAAGGCCUCAUGCUAUAGGAGCGGCCGAUGUCUGAUUAGCUAGUUGGUGAGGUAAAGGCUCACCAAGGCGACGAUCAGUAGCUGGUCUGAGAGGACGAUCCGCCACACUGGGACUGAGACACGGCCCAGACUCCUACGGGAGGCAGCAGUGGGGAAUUUUGGACAAUGGGCGAAAGCCUGAUCCAGCAAUGCCGCGUGUGUGAAGAAGGCCUUCGGGUUGUAAAGCACUUUUGUCCGGAAAGAAAUGGCUCUGGUUAAUACCUGGGGUCGAUGACGGUACCGGAAGAAUAAGGACCGGCUAACUACGUG
rnacentral:rRNA from 1 species